UGGGGAAUCUUGCACAAUGGGCGAAAGCCUGAUGCAGCGACGCCGCGUGGGGGAUGAAGCAUCUCGGUGUGUAAACCCCUUUCGAUUCGGACGAAUGCCCGCAAGGGAGUGACGGUACGGAUAUAAGAAGCCCCGGCUAACUACGUGCCAGCAGCCGCGGUAAGACGUAGGGGGCCAGCGUUGUUCGGAAUUACUGGGUGUAAAGGGUUCGUAGGCGGUGCGGCAAGUUGGGAGUGAAAUCUCUGGGCUUAACCCAGAGGCUGCUUCCAAAACUGCUGUGCUCGAGUGUGGGAGAGGCGCGGGGAAUUGCAGGUGUAGCGGUGAAAUGCGUAGAUAUCUGCAGGAACACCCGUGGCGAAAGCGGCGCGCUGGACCACUACUGACGCUGAGGAACGAAAGCUAGGGGAGCAAACAGG
rnacentral:rRNA from 1 species